UUACGGUCACAUCACGUUGAAACACCGGUUCUCCUACGAUCACCGAAGUUAAGCAACGUAGAGCCUGGACAGUAUCUAGAUGGGUAGCCGUUUAGGAAUACCAG